UACGUAGGGUGCGAGCGUUAAUCGGAAUUACUGGGCGUAAAGGGCGCGUAGGCGGUCGUGACAAGUCACUUGUGAAAUCUCCGGGCUUAACUCGGAACGGUCAAGUGAUACUGUCGGACUAGAGUACAGAAGGGGCAACUGGAAUUCUCGGUGUAGCGGUGAAAUGCGUAGAUAUCGAGAGGAACACCUGCGGCGAAGGCGGGUUGCUGGGCUGAUACUGACGCUGAGGCGCGAAAGCCAGGGGAGCGAACGGG
rnacentral:rRNA from 1 species